rnacentral:tRNA from 1 species
GGGGAUUUAGCUCAGUGGUAGAGAGCGCUUGCCUAGCAAGCGCAAGGCCCUGGGUUCGGUCCCCAGCUCCG